AUGAAUGCUGGCGGCGUGCCUGAGAUAUGCAAGUCGAACGCGAUAGUUGCCGCAAGGUGUCUGUCAGUGGCGGACGGCUGAGUAAUACAUAGGAAUUUCCCCCUAGGUAAAGAAUAGCUCACCGAAAGGUGGGGUAAUACUUUAUGGUAUCUGACGUAAGUUGGAUUAAAGGGCUUAACUGCUUGCCAAGGGAUGAGCCUAUGGCCUAUCAGGUAGUUGGUAGGGUAACGGCCUACCAAGCCUAUGACGGGUAGCUGGCUUUAGAGAGUGGUCAGCCAGAGGGGUACUGAGACACGGACCCCACUCCUACGGGAGGCAGCAAUCAGGAAUAGUCGGCAAUGGGCGAAAGCCUGACCGCGCGACGCCGCGUGUGAGAUGAAGUUCUAAUCGAGCGUAAAUCACUGUGGUAGAGGAAGAAGUUCUCGGCGUAAGCCGGAAUUGACGGUACUCUACUAGAAAGGGGCCGCUAACUGCGUGCCAGAAGCGUCGGUAAUACGUGGGCCCCAAGCAUUAUCCGGUUUUAUUGGGCGUAAAGGGUCGUGUAGGCGUCUUGUUAAGUUUCCGUUUAAAUUUCAAGGCCCAACUUUGAAGUUGGCGGGAAAACUAGCAAGAUUGAGUUUUCUUUAGGGAGAUUGGAACUGAGGGAGGAGUAGUGAAAUGCGUUGAUCCCCUCGGGAACACCAGUGGCGAAGGCGAAUCUCUGGAAGAUGACUGACGCUGAGACACGAAAGCUAGGGGAGCGAAGCAGAUUAGAGACCUGCGUAGUCCUAGCCCUAAACGAAUGUCUGCUAGCCGCAUCUUAAACUUUUAGUUUAAGGUGUAGCGAAGGUAACCCGUUAAGCAGACCGCCUGGGGAGUACGGCCGCAAGGUUGAAACUCAAAGGAAUUGGCGGGGAGGCACACAACCAGUGGAACAUGUGGUUUAAUUUGAUAGUAACCAAAGAACCUCACCAGGGUUUGACAUCUAAGCGUUCUAUUUUCCCGAAAUGGAAGAAAUCCGCAAGGAGGCUUAGACAGGUGCUGCAUGGCCGUCGUCAGCUCGUUCCGUGAGGAGUGCCCUUAAGUGGGACAACGAGCGCAACCCCCAUCCCGAGUUAUAUUUGUCUCGGGAAACUGCCCUGAUGUAUAUCGGGGAGGAAGGAGGGGCAGACGUCAGGUCAGCAUGGUCCUUAUACCCUGGGCUACACACAUGUUACAAUGAGGAAAAACAGCGGGUUUUGCCAGUCGGCAACGACGAGCAAAUCCCUGAAAUUUUCUCCCAGUGGGGAUUGGGGUCUGCAACUCGACCCCAUGAACACGGAAUUGGUAGUAAUCGCGAAUCAGUCACGUCGCGGUGAUACGUUCUUGCCUCUUGCACACA
rnacentral:rRNA from 1 species